AACGGCCAUUACCGUACCUGUAUAUAUUGUACUUAACAUUUUUUGGAAAUAGUUUUAAAUCAAAACGAAAACGUGUACGUGGUUAAUAAAUAUACCUGUAUUAUUAUUGUGAAAGUCAGCAAUGCCAAAAAAGCGCAAAGGGGCCAAUUUGAGUUGUCGAACGAGCAGUUCCAGAGCCAUGCGAGAUUUAAGAGCACGAAGAU